GUGCUCUAGAGCUCACAGGCC
rnacentral:miRNA from 1 species